UUAACUCAAAUUUGUAUGGAGCUGGAACGUUUGCCUACGUUUGCCGCUAGGGGCGCUGUUCCAACUGCAUACAAAUUUGAGUUA
rnacentral:pre_miRNA from 1 species